UCCGAAUUGGUGUAGUGGCUAACAUUUGACGCUCUCAUGUUUCUUCAAUAUGGAGAUCGUGCGCCGUCAAGCCCGGGGUUCGAUUCCCCGAUUCGGAG